AGUUUCUGCUCCACGUGCGGAAACGACCCACCGAUUUUUCAUAAGAAAAAAAAUGGAAAAGGAAAAAUUCAAAGAUACAGAGCAAAAAAAACCAAAAAAAAAUAAGAAGAAACAGGGACAUUAAGGAGAGAAUAAAGAUAGUGAUGAAUGUUCCAAACGUUGAAAUAUAUCUUUCCAAUAAAUAUCAAACAAAUGAUAAUUACAGUUUUUCAGAAGCAAAAGUUUUUCAAUAAACAGUCUUCUGGUUAUAGAUUUCUUAAUGUUUUCUACAUUUAGCCUUGAUGUUUUCAUUUUAGUUUGCAGAAUACUUUGUUUUGUGAAAAGAAUGAUUAAAUUUUCCAACCUAUGAAUAUCUCUAUUAUCAAAUUUUCGAAAAAGGAUUGAAUAUUUGUCAAAAUUUGUUUGUAAACCAAAGAUAUCUGUCAAACAUUAUUUUUCCGAUUUUAAUGUUUACAAUGCUUUAUAGUAAAGCAUUUUUAAUAGACAACCAAAAUUUGAGUGUCAUUUGUUGAGUUGUAAGCGAGUUACAGGGCUAACAACUAUUUGCUAUAUAUUUACAUUCUACUGUUUUUCCAUUAAAUUAUGUUUUUCAAUUGACGGCAGUUAUUGACACGACGACUUCAAAAAUAAAUCAUUCGAUGCUGUAGU
rnacentral:misc_RNA from 1 species